rnacentral:rRNA from 1 species
AUUGAACGCUGGCGGAAUGCUUUACACAUGCAAGUCGAACGGCAGCACGGGGGCAGCCCUGGUGGCGAGUGGCGAACGGGUGAGUAAUACAUCGGAACGUGCCCGGUCGUGGGGGAUAACGUAGCGAAAGUUACGCUAAUACCGCAUACGAUCUGAGGAUGAAAGCGGGGGACCUUCGGGCUUCGCGCGAUCGGAGCGGCCGAUGUCAGAUUAGGUAGUCGGUGGGGUAAAGGCCUACCAAGCCGACGAUCUGUAGCUGGUCUGAGAGGACGACCAGCCACACUGGGACUGAGACACGGCCCAGACUCCUACGGGAGGCAGCAGUGGGGAAUUUUGGGCAAUGGGCGCAAGCCUGAUCCAGCCAUUCCGCGUGCAGGACGAAGGCCUUCGGGUUGUAAACUGCUUUUGUACGGAACGAAAAGGCUCUGGCUAAUACCUGGGGCUCAUGACGGUACCGUAAGAAUAAGCACCGGCUAACUACGUG